GGUUGACCUCGGAUCAGGUAGGAAGACCCGCUGAACUUAAGCAUAUCAAUAAGCGGAGGAAAAGAAACCAACAGGGAUUGCCCUAGUAACGGCGAGUGAAGCGGCAACAGCUCAAAUUUGAAAUCUGGCUUCGGCCCGAGUUGUAAUUUGUAGAGGAUGCUUUGGGCGCGGCUCUAACUGAGUUCCCUGGAACGGGACGCCACAGAGGGUGAGAGCCCCGUAUAGUUAGAUGCCUAGCCUAUGUAAAGCUCCUUCGACGAGUCGAGUAGUUUGGGAAUGCUGCUCUAAAUGGGAGGUAAAUUUCUUCUAAAGCUAAAUAUUGGCCAGAGACCGAUAGCGCACAAGUAGAGUGAUCGAAAGAUGAAAAGCACUUUGAAAAGAGGGUUAAAUAGCACGUGAAAUUGUUGAAAGGGAAGCGCUUGUGACCAGACUUGCGCCGGGCAGAUCAUCCGGUGUUCUCACCGGUGCACUCUGCCCGGCUCAGGCCAGCAUCGGUUCUCGUGGGGGGAUAAAGGUCCCGGGAACGUAGCUCCUCCGGGAGUGUUAUAGCCCGGGGCGUAAUGCCCUCGUGGGGACCGAGGUUCGCGCAUCUGCAAGGAUGCUGGCGUAAUGGUCAUCAGCGACCCGUCUUGAAACACGGACCAAGGAGUCAAGGUUUUGCGCGAGUGUUUGGGUGUAAAACCCGCACGCGUAAUGAAAGUGAACGUAGGUGAGAGCUUCGGCGCAUCAUCGACCGAUCCUGAUGUAUUCGGAUGGAUUUGAGUAAGAGCGUUAAGCCUUGGACCCGAAAGAUGGUGAACUAUGCUUGGAUAGGGUGAAGCCAGAGGAAACUCUGGUGGAGGCUCGCAGCGGUUCUGACGUGCAAAUCGAUCGUCAAAUCUGAGCAUGGGGGCGAAAGACGAAUCGUGC
rnacentral:rRNA from 1 species